rnacentral:rRNA from 1 species
CAGUCGCCGCGGUAAUACGGAGGGUGCAAGCGUUAUCCGGAUUCACUGGGUUUAAAGGGUGCGUAGGCGGACAUGAAAGUCAGUGGUGAAAUCUCAGAGCUUAACUCUGAAACUGCCUUUGAUACUUUGUGUCUUGAAUUUCCUGGAGGUUAGCGGAAUAUGUCAUGUAGCGGUGAAAUGCUUAGAUAUGACAUAGAACACCGAUUGCGAAGGCAGCUGACUAUAGGUAGAUUGACGCUGAUGCACGAAAGCGUGGGGAGCGAACAGGAUUAGAUACCCCCGUAGUCCCUGUCUCUUAUAA